ACCCUGGUGGCAUAGUGGCUAUGAGCUUGGCUGCUAACCAAAAGGUCUGCAGUUCAAAUCCACUAGGGUG
rnacentral:tRNA from 1 species